GGGGAUGUAUUGCCUCGACGAAAUAGCUCGUUAAAAACUGCAAGCCGAGUGAUUCUAAAUAACUCGCAAAAUAUUUUUAGAAAAAAUAACUGUCAGCAAAAUUUCUGACAAAGUAAACGGUUCUCUUGCAGGAUUGUUUGCUCCUCGUCCGUCUGCUUACGCUUUUGCCUAAGUUCGACCGAUAAGGACUUUAAAUGGUUUUUCUCCAACGGAACUAUUUAGGGUACAACUUAGUUGGAGUCAAAGCGCUCAUUUGCUAAUUAUGGGUAUGCGGAAAGAUAUUAUUAAUAUCUCUUUAAAAAGAUAUUUAUAAUUUAAAUUAGAUAGUUUUGACCUCUAACUUGUUAGUGAGACUAAGGGCUCAGAAUGAUUUUUAUAAACACUAACUACGCUUGUAGAAGUUUUUGUCGGAAUAUUAUCGGACGCGGGUUCAUAGCCCGCCAUCUCCACAU
rnacentral:tmRNA from 1 species